CCUACGGGAGGCAGCAGUGGGGAAUAUUGCACAAUGGGGGAAACCCUGAUGCAGCGACGCCGCGUGAGUGAAGAAGUAUUUCGGUACGUAAAGCUCUAUCAGCAGGGAAGAAAAUGACGGUACCUGACUAAGAAGCCCCGGCUAACUACGUGCCAGCAGCCGCGGUAAUACGUAGGGGACAAGCGUUAUCCGGAUUUACUGGGUGUAAAGGGAGCGUAGACGGCAGCGCAAGUCUGGAGUGAAAUCCCAUGGCUUAACCAUGGAACUGCUUUGGAAACUGUGCAGCUAGAGUGCAGGAGAGGUAAGCGGAAUUCCUAGUGUAGCGGUGAAAUGCGUAGAUAUUAGGAGGAACACCAGUGGCGAAGGCGGCUUACUGGACUGUAACUGACGUUGAGGCUCGAAAGCGUGGGGAGCAAACAGGAUUAGAUACCCGAGUAGUC
rnacentral:rRNA from 1 species